rfam:Streptomyces sp. AcH 505 scaffold00001, whole genome shotgun sequence.
CUUCACCGAACCCAGCCACAGCGGCCGGUCCUCCGGACGGUCCUGCCCGUACGUCGCCAGCAGCGCCUGCGCCUC